AUUGAACGCUGGCGGAAUGCUUUACACGUGCAAGUCGAACGGCAGCACGGACUUCGGUCUGGUGGCGAGUGGCGAACGGGUGAGUAAUGUAUCGGAACGUGCCCAGUCGUGGGGGAUAACGUAGUGAAAAUUACGCUAAUACCGCAUACGAUCUAUGGAUGAAAGCGGGGGAUCGCAAGACCUCGCGCGAUUGGAGCGGCCGAUAUCGGAUUAGGUAGUUGGUGGGGUAAAGGCCCACCAAGCCAACGAACUGUAGCUGGUCUGAGAGGACGACCAGCCCCAAUGGAUCUGAGACACGUUCCAGACUCCUACGGGAGGCAGCAGUGGGGAGUUUUGGACAAUGGGCGAAAGCCUGAUCCAGCCAUUCCGCGUGCAGGAUGAAGGCUCUCGGGUUGUAAACUGCUUUUGUACAGAACGAAAAGGUUUCUACUAAUACUAGGAGCUCAUGACGGUACUGUAAGAAUAAGCACCGGCUAACUACGUGCCAGCCGCCGCAGUAA
rnacentral:rRNA from 1 species